rfam:Triticum aestivum genome assembly, contig: Triticum_aestivum_CS42_TGACv1_scaffold_113886_2AS
AUACUACUCCCUCCAUUCCUAAUUACUUGUCGCAAGUAUGGACGUAUCUAGAUGUAUCUUAGUUCUAGAUACAUCCAUUUCUGUGACGAGUAAUUUGGAACGGAGGGAGUAUAAU